rnacentral:lncRNA from 1 species
AUAUUAUAAACAACUAUCAACUGUGCAUUUUUAUUCACAUACUACUUAUAUCCUCAUCAUAUUAAGUACGUAUAAGACUUUGUUAUGGGCCUAAUUCCCCCAAUCUCUUUAAAAUAUAAAUAAUCCCUUUAAAAUUUUUGUAUCCCGCUCCUAAUUCCCCCAAUCUCUGUCUCUCAAAACCUAAAACUGACUCUGCCCACGCCUAUUGUCAAUUCACGAUGUCAACCCUAGAUCGACGAAGAUUCACCGAUGAUUCCCCAAUCGUUCCUCCACAUUACCGAAGAUUCACCAAUUGUUCUGCAUAAAACCUAGAUCGACGACUCCUUAAUCGUUCCUCUAAUCAAUUUCUGUCACACGUUUGCUGGUACAUCGAAGUUGUUCUAGAUUUCAUGUCGUUUCACGGAUCUAAGCAUAUUACACUAGUACACAAUUGGACAAAUGAUGCGGAUGACAAAACUAAAAGAUGCGGUUAAAUGGUUAACCCGCAUCUUUUGCCCUGCCCCUAAAACUAAAAAGUACAUCUGUUUUCUAAGCUGUUAAUACAGUACUAGGCAUGCUAUAUAUGUUGAUGAAUAGGUUUACGGUCGCAUUUACAUGCUACUAAGCUGUUUCAGCUAAAUAUUCUUCAUUUAACAGAAUAAGCAGGUUUCGAUCUCGUCUACUUCGUUAUGUACUAAUUAAUUUUCUUUUCUUUCUCACGUAGACCUAAAUUUUGCAAUGUCUCGGUGGUUUUGUACUAACUUUACUCUGAUUUUUUGGUAAUGAACAGGUUUUCAAUCGGAUUCAGCCGUCGUUAAGCUGUUUUAUCGCUGUUUGGAUUGGGUACUCUGAUUUUUUGGUAAUGAACAGGUUCUUCGAGACGAUAUUCCGGACUUUGACCCGUACUCGACCCGAACCAACCCGAACCCAUCAAGAUUAGCCCAACUUAGAACCAUGCGGCGCUGAGGCCUGACAAAAGGCUUCAAUUACAAAUGUGAUUCAGGCAUGGUCUUAACAGUGAUCUUACGUUCCAACCAGAAGACCGUGUUAAGAAUAUAAGAAGAAUCAGAGAAGUUGCAAAGUUGUUCUCUGAUGCUGGAGUUAUCUGCAUUGCCAGUGUGAUAUCUCCCUACAGAAAAGAUCGCGAUUCUUGUCGAGCCAAACUUCCGACGGGAGAUUUCAUUGAGGCUUUCAUGGAUAUGCCUUUAUGUGUUUGUGAGGCCAGGGAUCCAAAGGGUUUAUACAAGCUGACAAAAGAUGCUGAAGUAUGUUUUAAAAACCGGUUUACAUCGGUCGGUUGAACCGGUUUACACCGGCCGGUUAAACCGGAUAUUGGAAGCUUGGCCGGCAUGAAUCAUACUGGUAAAUUGAGAGGACGAUAAAGAAGUUGUACUUCCGGAAAUUUGGGUUACACCGUUUCCUUAAAAACUUCCGGAGAAGGAAUCUCCGAGCUAUCAAAAGAAGCGUCUGGUAUCUUCAUUUGGUGCUUAACUCAAAAUUCUGAUAUAUUAGUAGAAGCAAUGCUAACACCGUCACUGAAGAGAACAUGGCAGCAACAAGAGAACUGGGCAACAACAAGAGAACAGGGCAGCAACAAGAUAUCAUGGGAUGUACUACGACAAAUAUCGGAAAGGGUCGUGGCCAUUAAUUUUUUCACUUUGCAUUGGUUUUAUUAGAUCAAAAGUGAACGUGAUUAUCCAAGAUAUAGUGAAAGAAAAAGAAGAAAAAGAAAGGUUGAACGAUAUUAUUGCAGAAUUGGUGGGGGAAAAUGAGAGAUAAGGCGGAGAAAGAGGCUAUGAAUGAAAGGAUGGCAAACAUUGAAGCGAUGCUAAAAGCUAGGUUUCAAAACGUAUAAUCAUCGACUUAGGUUUCAAAACGUAUAAACACUUUGUUUUGAAUAUGUAUUUUGUUAUGAUAACUUUG